rnacentral:misc_RNA from 1 species
GGAUGAAGAACGUAGCGAAAUGCGAUAAGUAAUGUGAAUUGCAGAAUUCAGUGAAUCAUCGAAUCUUUGAACGCACCUUGCGCCUUUUGGUAUUCCGAAAGGCACACCUGUUUGAGCGUCAUGAAUACCUCAAUCUCCAUCUUUUCUUCGGAUUGAUGGGUGACUUGGAUGUUGAGCCCUGCUGGUAUGCUAUAUCAGCUGGCUUUAAACUUAUUAGCCGGCUCUGUACUGGAUCGGUUUGACUCGACGUGAUAAUAUUAUCGUUGAGGAUGCAUGUCUCAUGCAGCCGGAAAGUAUCAAAGCAGCUUCUAGCUUGCCUUUAGUGCACUUUUACAUUUUAGACCUCAGAUCAGGUAGGACUACCCGCUGAACUUAAGCAUAUCAAUAAGCGGAGGA